rnacentral:rRNA from 1 species
GACGAACGCUGGCGGCGUGCUUAACACAUGCAAGUCGAACGGAAAGGCCCUGCUUUUGUGGGGUGCUCGAGUGGCGAACGGGUGAGUAACACGUGAGUAACCUGCCCUUGACUUUGGGAUAACUUCAGGAAACUGGGGCUAAUACCGGAUAGGAGCUCCUGCUGCAUGGUGGGGGUUGGAAAGUUUCGGCGGUUGGGGAUGGACUCGCGGCUUAUCAGCUUGUUGGUGGGGUAGUGGCUUACCAAGGCUUUGACGGGUAGCCGGCCUGAGAGGGUGACCGGCCACAUGGGGACUGAGAUACGGCCCAGACGCCUACGGGAGGCAGCAGUGGGGAAUAUUGCACAAUGGGCGGAAGCCUGAUGCAGCAACGCCGCGUGCGGGAUGACGGCCUUCGGGUUGGAAACCGCUUUCGCCUGUGACGAAGCGUGAGUGACGGUAAUGGGUAAAGAAGCACCGGCUAACUACGU